AUUGAACGCUGGCGGCAGGCCUAACACAUGCAAGUCGAGCGGAGCGGCGGACGGGUGAGUAAUGCCUAGGAAUCUGCCUGGUAGUGGGGGAUAACGUCCGGAAACGGGCGCUAAUACCGCAUACUAUCAGAUGAGCCUAGGUCGGAUUAGCUAGGUGGUGGGGUAAAGGCCUACCAAGCCGACGAUCUCUAGCUGGUCUGAGAGGAUGACCAGCCACACUGGGACUGAGACACGGCCAAGACUCCUACGGGAGGCAGCAGUGGGGAAUAUUGCGCAAUGGGGGCAAUCCUGACGCAGCCAGGCCGCGUGAAUGAAGAAGGCCUUCGGGUUGUAAAGUUCUUUCGGUAGCGAGGCGUUAACUACAGAAGAAGCACCGGCUAACUCCGUGCCAGCAGCCGCGGUAAUAC
rnacentral:rRNA from 1 species